AACGAACGCUGGCGGCAUGCCUAACACAUGCAAGUCGAACGAGACCUCCGGGUCUAGUGGCGCACGGGUGCGUAACGCGUGGGAACCUGCCCUUAGGUUCCGAAUAACUCCCUUUCAGGGGUGCUAAUACCGGAUAAUGUCUUCGGACCAAAGAUUUAUCGCCUUUGGGUGGGCGCGAGUUGGUUUAGCUAGUUGGUAGUGUAAAAGCCUACCAAGGCGUCGAUCCAUAGCUGGUUUGAGAGGAUGAGCAGCCACACUGGGACUGAGACCCGGCCCGGACUCCUACGGGAGGGGGGAGAGGGUAAUAUAGGACAAUGGGCGAAGGCCUGAACCAGCAAUGCCGCGUGAGUGAUGAAGGCGGUAGGGAAGAGAAGCUGUUUUACCCGGGGUGAUAAUGACGGUACCGGGAGAAUAAGCACCGGCUAACUCCGUG
rnacentral:rRNA from 1 species